CAUUUUAAUCUUCUUCCAUUUGCUGAUCAGUUCAUGCGCACGAUGGCUGGGACGCGGUUCGUUAUACUAACUCAUUGCGUUGCUUCUUUGUUUUUGUUAACUGUAGCAAAUGGAGCUAUAAUACGUCUAAAUUGUGAUACUGUUGAUGACAAGUGUUUGUUAAAGAAUGUCUUCGCGUCCGAGGAUGAUCGCUUCAAAGAAAUUCGCAACGAGAGAUACCAGAGCAUCAUCGAGUUCUUCGACUGUCACAUCCACACUUUACCUCCAAUACCCUAUAUUAACAAAGUGAAAGCAAAUGCGAUCAAUCUUGUUCGAAUCGAGGAAAACACCUUCAGCACCAUACAUCGUUUGGACGUUUCCUACAACAGACUGCGUGAAAUUUCAACAAAAGCUUUUGAAUAUCCAGAAGAACUUUUAGAGUUGAAUCUAAAUGGCAAUCCAACACUCAAAGAUUUUGCUUUUCUAUCAAAGCUUACUGGUCUGAGAAGUCUUGAUAUGGCUGACAUGAAGCUUGAGCUGGAACUCUUGGAUAUCAACACAUUUGCUGGCAUGUCGGAGCUAUCUACACUUAAUAUGAGCGAUAAUAGAAUUACCUCGAUACCGGUAGGAAUGUUUUCUCCACUCGUCGGAUUAACUGAUUUAGAUCUAAGCAGAAACUCUAUCACAAAAAUUGCAUCCGGAACGUUUGCAAUCGCUACAACGCACAGCUACCUACGUGAUGGAAUAUACCACCAAGCGCUUAAUUUUGAUCUGUCAUCAAACAACGUAAGCAUCAUCGAGAACAACGCCUUUUUGCACGCCUCUAAGGUCAACCUGCGAAACAAUAAGCUAAUCGGUAUUGGCCAGUACGCAUUCGACAAUCAAACAGCCCUAGAGCAUUUGGAUCUUUCCGGUAACGAUCAGCUGAAAAACUUUGACUUCCUACACAACCUUCGUGCCCUGCACUAUCUCGAUAUGUCGCACAUGAAUUUCUCCUUCGACGGUGUUCCACGUAAUAUCUUCGAUGAUCUCGAUUCACUGACAACGCUCGAUCUGUCAAACAAUCGAAUACUCGAAAUUCCAAUCGGAAUCUUUGCCGAGCUACAAUCGCUUAACUUUAUCAACCUGCGACACAAUAGCAUCUCGCACAUCGAGUUCGGUACAUUCUCUAUGCGCAAAUAUGAUCUAAUAGACGAGAUUGAUCUCUCAUACAACAAUAUCAAAGAGUUAAACUUCCUAGUCUUCGUGCCGCUCAAGUACCUCAAGACGCUGCUUUUACAUGGAAAUAAAAUAUCGUAUGUUAAUGCCAAGCAGCUGACUCGCAACAAAAGCCUCUAUAAUUUUGGCAUUCAAAAUAGCAAUGUGCGCUGUUACGACCUAAUAGACCUGCUCGGAUCGCUAAAGCUUGUACUUGAACCAAAUGAAUUUAUUUCACACCUACCAAAUGUAGACGGAAUUAGAUGCCAACCAUAACAAUGUUUCUUUAACUCGAUUGCACAAUAAACAUGGCUUUAAGUGUAAUGUGAUACCAAUCGAACUCAUCAUAAUACAAACUAGCAGGAGGCCAAGGAGAUGUAUAUCUUUCUAUGAUUAUUGUAACAUGUUAGCUGAAAGUGUGUUUUCGCUUUAAUCAUCGUGGAUGCCUGGUUACGCCAUUUGGACAUUUACAUAAUUCGAUUCACUGUUUCAAAAUCGAUGCAAAUACCCCAUGCGCACCAGAACGGAAAUCGCGACCCAUCGGAUCGAUUCCGCUAGUGUCCCAAAUUGCACUAGCACUCCACGUUCCGUCGUCGUCCCAUUCGGAAAGGGGUGUUAGUAAAUGGCAAAAAGCUUUACCCAAUAAAGGUAACAGCGAAAAAACUUACACCAGAAACAACCAAAUGCUCUCGAUGGAUCACGAACUAUAUGUAUGGGUGUGACCUUUUUUAUGGUCAGUAUGUGGCGCCAACGGUUCUACUGUAGCUCUUCAUGAAUUUUCUGUCGUUAGUCACCCACGAGUAAGGGUAUUAAAAGUAAAUUCUCCCACUCUGCUGUUCUGUAACAAAAUCAAACUCGUCCCGCGUGGUUCGGUUGAACCGAUCUAGUGCUACAAUCCAUGCACUCAUGCCCAUACAUUGGAGCUCUGGAUCUGUCCUGUAGCAUCUCACCACAAGCAACGGACAAAUGGAAGGAAAAAGGGAAGGUAGCAGCUCUAAAUCCCCCACCACAAAGAGCCUGCGCGGGUGCGAAUUGGCGUGUGAAUAGCUCGCAAGUUGAGCGCGAGUGUUGAAUUUUAAUUAAUUUCCAAAUAAAUUACUUUAAUCGA